rnacentral:rRNA from 1 species
GAUGAACGCUGGCGGCGUGCCUAAUACAUGCAAGUCGAGCGAACAGACGAGGAGCUUGCUCCUCUGACGUUAGCGGCGGACGGGUGAGUAACACGUGGAUAACCUACCUAUAAGACUGGGAUCACUUCGGGAAACCGGAGCUAAUACCGGAUAAUAUAUUGAACCGCAUGGUUCAAUAGUGAAAGACGGUUUUGCUGUCACUUAUCGAGGGAUCCCGGCCGCAUUAGCUAGUUGGUAAGGUAACGGCCUACCACGGCGACGAUGCGUAGCCGAACGGUGAGGGGGGUAGCCCACACGGGAACUGGACCAGGGACCAGGCGCCUGCGGGAGGGAGCAGUAGGGAAUGGGAGGCAAUGGGCGAAAGCCUGACGGAGCAAGGCGGCGUGAGUGGUGAAGGCGUUCGGAGCGUGAAACUCUGUUAUUAGGGAAGAACAAAUGUGGAAGUAACUAUGCACGGCGUGACGGUACCUAAUCAGAAAGCAACGGCUAACUACGUG